CUUUUCUCUGCAUCCUGAAGGAAGCACCGUGUAAACAUUUUGCGUGCAACUCGCCGGACUGGUAAUUCCCCUCCAAGGUCAGCUCAGAAUGGUGGCUUGUGUCUGAGAAAGAAAGACUCUUUAAAAAUGAUCUUGGUCUUUCUCAAUCCUUAAAAAAAUCACUGAUUCAUCCAAUAGCGACAUUGCUGAUGAUUUGGGAGGUUGCAUUAGAAUGUCACUUAAACAUGCAAUGACUCACUAUGGAAAAUAACCUUGGUGUCACUACAGGAGUCAGACUUGAAACCCUUCUCGUGUGAAAAUCUGGAAGCUGCAAACAGCCCAUUUUACACCUGAGUACCCCACCCAUAGGUUGCUGAGGCAACUGCUGCUUACACGUGGAGAAAAAACUGACUCAGAGCUUGAACGGUUUGAAGUGUGCGAGAACCAUGAGAUACAGUUUAUGUUUCUUGAUGAAGAAAUCACUUGGCUACUUUAGAAUCCAAGUUGGUGCUUAUUUUUCAAGCCAGCAGUCACGGUUGUUUGCAGAGCAGAUGUGGAUUACAGGUAGGCAGAGCAGAACGUCUUGGAAGGAUUCUCAGCUAGGGUACAUGAAAAAGAUUAUUAAAUGAGUCCUGAUAUUUCCCAGGAGAUAAUUGCUUAAAAGUUAUGAAAAAGACCCUAGUAAUGAGCCAGAUAGAUAGUCUAUCUUAAAGCGUAUGUCACUGAUAAAGAGUAGAAUUUAAAAAUUUGUGUACCUUGUGUUUGCACAUAUUUCCUCUCUACAUCUUCCAGUUUGAGUAAAUCUGAAACAUUGGCACUUGCUGGCUUUAGCGGGGGGAAUACU
rnacentral:lncRNA from 1 species